UAGAUUAGAGUCUAGCAGUUGGCAAUGACGAUAUCCGGCAGGGGUGUAUGUCAUAUCGGCCAUAGCGGCUGGCACUUCACUUGAAUUUUCGUUCUUGUCCGAUCAAGAAGUCCUCCGGUGGCCAUUGUAAGAAUCUACCUUUUGGUUGAAAUAAGUUAUAAGAAGAUUAAUUUACGUUGGAGGAAGUUUUUAUUUUUUUGUUUGGGGUUGUGAAGAGUUUUUGGUUCCAAUAUUUUUUGAAUUGGGCAAAUGUAACGUAUGAUUAUUUUGGUUUAAUUUCGGACAAUUCCACAAAUCUCCCUCAGAUCUCUGAGAAACUCCAUCGUUUAGAUGAUCUUCAGACUUUACCCCCAAUAUUUGCAGACAUCAGGAAGAAGUUAAAAUCUUCUUACCUUAAGUCACAGAGUCAAUACAAUUUGAGGAAAAGAGAUUUGCGAUUCUUUGUUGGUGAUCGGGUAUUAAAACGUAAUUUUGUUAAGUCAAGCAAAGGUGAUGCUAUUUCUGCCAAAUUUUGUCAGAAAUAUGUCCCAUGUGUUGUCAGUAAAGUAAUCUCUCCUUUAAUAUAUGAACUAAAAGAUAGUUCGUCCAACAGGAAACUUGGUCGAUUUCAUAUAAAGGACUUACUACCAGAUAAUACUGUCAACGACUUAGCAUCUUCGUCGUCAGAAGAAGAAGAUUAACUUAACAAUAUUGAUCAAGUUAAUUCCUCUUUCUAAAUUUUAGAAAUACUCGAUUGUUCAAUGAAUAGGUUAACGAUUGGAUUUUGAUUUUAGUCACCAGAUAGGUACUCUAUGUUUUAUCUAUUAUAGUAAUUUUUCUAGCUUUCCAUAUUCUAUGUAUGUUAGAUGUCAUUAGUUAUUAUUGAGAUUUAGCUUAAUUUGGCUUAUUAUUGAACUGGUAUGGAACUGUAACACCUUGUAUGUGAUUAUGCUUAUAUAUGUCAUCACUUGUAGAUUAGUGUAUCUACAAAAUAGGUUUAGAUUAUGUUUAUCUGGUGUUGUGUUUAAUUUUGUAGUUUCUACUGGAAAGUUAUUCCAAUGCUUAGUAUGAUUCCUUGGUACAUUAGCUUAUUGUGGUCUAAAGAAGUCAUCAUGAUAUUUGUUUUGGUAAAGGCAAUUUGAGUAUACAGUGUGAUUCCAAAGUUAUACUUCAUUGGUCAAAAUUUAAUUAAGUUAAUUGAGAUAAAAAUUUAUGAUAAAGACUAUGAAGCCAUUUCGUUAUGUACCGUAUUGAAUAUUUCUUAGGAAAAUGGUUUGCCUAGCUUGGCUAUGCAAAUACGUGGGUUCGAAACUUGUAUUACUUAUCAACUGUGCACAUGAUAGGAGACGGAUUUCCUGGCUCACAGUUGCCUAGUCCUGGGUCAUACCUUAAUUAGUUCAGAUGCUGAAUUUUUAUGAUAGAAUGUUUGAUCAUCAUUUUAAUCAUGCACUAGGCAUUCUUAUUCCAUGUUCAGUUUAUGAUCAUUCUAUAGAGACUUAGUCUUAAACUUGUCUGUCUAUUGUAUACUUACUCUCCUUUAGUUUUAUCAAUUUAUUGUUCUGAUAAUAAUGGUAACUUCUUGGAUAUCAGUCCUAUGGAAAUAUGGUAGCUUUUGCCUACACCAAGGGAUUAUUGUGUUCGAGCAUCAGCUUUCCUGAAAACUCAUUAUUUUUGUUUGUAUGUGAAUUAGAGUCAGGAUCAACGUCCUGUUGUCUGUGCGUGACUAGGGAACAUUUCCUUAAUCUGCAGUUUCUUUAGAAAUUGAUUUACUUGUUCUCUAGUAUUUACUUAAUUGGAUUUAUUUAUAAGAGUUAAUAAUAUGUGACUUCUUGAAGUAUUUCAUGAGAGAUGAUUCCGAAAUAUUGGUUAGCUUUUUCUGGCUAUUCCCAUAAAUUUGUUGUAGCUAUAGCUAUAGUUAGAGAAUCCCAGAGUAAGCUAACUUCUGUUAUGUCUACCAUUUAAUUAGGUAGACCUCCCGUUGCAUCUGAUACAAAUCUGAUGAUCAGUUGAGUGAGGGUCAUAUUACCCAAUAUGUAAUCAUUAUUAGCACAUUGAGUGUUAGGUUGUAGCGUUGCUAAUUAAAUCUGCCUGAUUGUUCCACCUUGGAUAUGCUUCCAUAUAAAUCUAUUGUCCACAGUCGGAUCAAUUUAGGAUAAAAGGCUUGCUACAAUAAUUUCUUUUCUUGUCCAUACAUAACUCUUAUAUUUAUUUUGGUUUAUACUAUGGUCUAUGUUUUAGCUUUUUGGAACUGGCUACGAGAUUUCUACUGAUUGUUCACUUUGGAUAUGCUCUAUUUAAAUCUGUUGUCCAUCGAUAGAACAAUUUUGUACUACUCGUCCCACUUGACUUUUUUGAGAAUAGAAUUUUUCUAAAUUAUGGAAUUUAGUAAAGGGUUAUAAUAAACCUUAAGUAUGUAUGUUGGUACCAUAUGAGAUAUAUCGGGCAUUAAGACAACUCCAUUUACAUGACUCAUAAUUUGCGGUUAGGUAUGAUCGAUCGAGUCAGCUGUAAGUGUAAGUUAGUCGUCGUAUAGGUUAUAUUGAGUUUUCUAUUCGAAUAUUGUUGUUAUGGUGUUCUUGUUGACUAUAAUUUGGGGUUUUAUAGAAAUCUACUGAAUCAACUUGAACACAACUUGGUCUUUAGGAUAUAUAUCAGAGUUUGGACGAUGUCCUACGGUAGGUUAGUUUAGAGUAGUGAAGUAUUCGUAGGUUCGUAUUAUAUUUUAGAAAUUUGGUUUGGUCACGCCUGUGUUGGAUCCCACAGCGUGUGAUUUUUUCUCUGUGGAUACUUGUAUGGAGUAUCUAUAUGAGUAUAUAUAUGUAUAUGCAUAAUAAAAAAAAAAGAUUGAUCAUAGGAUCAAUUUUUUUUUCUUACAAGUAAUGGGGGAAUGUAACGAUGAGUUACUACUAUCGUUACUAAAAUGUUAUUCCGAUGGGAACUAGGUAUGCAACCAACUUUACAAGCACUCGUAUUAGAGGUUGCAGUUGAUAGACGAUAAAGUUGGUAAUAUCUGGUAGAUUAGAGUCUAGCAGUUGGCAAUGACGAUAUCCGGCAGGGGUGUAUGUCAUAUCGGCCAUAGCGGCUGGCACUUCACUUGAAUUUUCGUUCUUGUCCGAUCAAGAAGUCCUCCGGUGGCCAUUGUAAGAAUCUACCUUUUGGUUGAAAUAAGUUAUAAGAAGAUUAAUUUACGUUGGAGGAAGUUUUUAUUUUUUUGUUUGGGGUUGUGAAGAGUUUUUGGUUCCAAUAUUUUUUGAAGAAAACAAUGGCCACUGGAGGGAGACUAUAACAAAAUUUAAGUCACAUUUGGAUGCUUCAUUUAUUUAUGGAAUAAACAAUCAUUUUGGUAUUAUUUUGGGUUUGGAUUGGAAGAGUUUUGGAUGUUUUUUUUUCUCGUUUCUGGAAUAGACACUAAGUUCUAUCGACACUAGCAAGUACCUCCUCGUCAAUACUCUGUGUUGCUGUUCCUUACCUCCCGAGGAUUGGGAAGAUCGGAGGAUACGUACCUGGCUCUCUCAUCAUCAACCUCACCAGGAUUUUGGAGAAGCCACAGGCCUACUUUUGUAGAAACGCCAGGUUUUUAUAAUAAAAUUUGAAUUUUCAAUCCUUUUAAAUAAUAGUUUUCAAUUUUCAAUUUUUUUUUCAAUAACUCAAAUACAUAACCUUAAUAAUAAUAUAAAUUCACCUUCUUAAACCCUAUUAUCUUUAUAAUAUUCAAUAAUUUUUUUUUGUCAACGAAUUUUAUAUUUCAUUUUCAUGAUUGUAUCAGGUAUUUAAAAUAAUCUCAGGAUUGUAAACUAUCUGGGACGAUACUGUGCACACUAUCGAAGGGUUUAUUUCCUACUCAAUAAUAUUUAUUCCAUUCACCAGAUAUUGUCAGGUUGUCACUUCCGAUCAGAUACGGGAUUGUCAGCCAAUCUUGUAUUCUACAGUAAUAAUUAGUUUGUACAUGCAUAUUUAGAUCAAAUCACUUCCUUAGUAGAAUAAAUUCAUUACAUAUAUUAGUUUUUUUCAUACUGUAAAACCUGCAUUAUCGACAGGAGUGUACUACCAUAGUACGUCGGAUAUUUAGCUAGUGUAUAAAAUUGUAUAUAGGGUUUAUAGGUAUUUUUUUUUUAUUAAAUGUGGUUGUACAUA
rnacentral:lncRNA from 1 species